GUAGCUCAGUUGGUAGAGCACUUGUCUGGCAUACAUGAAGCCCUGGGUUCAAUCUCCAGC
rnacentral:tRNA from 1 species